rnacentral:tRNA from 1 species
GGCUUGUUGGUCUAGAGGUACGAUUCCUGUUUCGGGUACAGGAGGUCCCGGGUUCAAACCCCGGACAAGCCU